rnacentral:rRNA from 1 species
GGCGAACGGGUGAGUAACACGUGGGUGAUCUGCCCUGCACUUCGGGAUAAGCCUGGGAAACUGGGUCUAAUACCGGAUAGGAGCCAUUUUUAGUGUGAUGGUUGGAAAGUUUUUUCGGUGUAGGAUGAGCUCGCGGCCUAUCAGCUUGUUGGUGGGGUAAUGGCCUACCAAGGCGGCGACGGGUAGCCGGCCUGAGAGGGUGGACGGCCACAUUGGGACUGAGAUACGGCCCAGACUCCUACGGGAGGCAGCAGUGGGGAAUAUUGCACAAUGGGCGCAAGCCUGAUGCAGCGACGCCGCGUGGGGGAUGACGGCCUUCGGGUUGUAAACUCCUUUCGCUAGGGACGAAGCUUUUUGUGACGGUA